rnacentral:rRNA from 1 species
GACGAACGCUGGCGGCGUGCUUAACACAUGCAAGUCGAACGGAAAGGCCCUGCUUUUGUGGGGUGCUCGAGUGGCGAACGGGUGAGUAACACGUGAGUAACCUGCCCUUGACUUUGGGAUAACUUCAGGAAACUGGGGCUAAUACCGGAUAGGAGCUCCUGCAGCAUGGUGGGGGUUGGAAAGUUUCGGCGGUUGGGGAUGGACUCGCGGCUUAUCAGCUUGUUGGUGGGGUAGUGGCUUACCAAGGCUUUGACGGGUAGCCGGCCUGGGAGGGUGGCCGGCCACAUUGGGACUGCGAUACGGCCCAGUCUCGUACGGGAGGCAGCAGUGGGGAAUAUUGCAGAAUGGGCGGAAGCCUGAUGCAGCAACGCCGCGUGCGGGAUGACGGCCUUCGGGUUGUAAACCGCUUUCGCCUGUGACGAAGCGUGAGUGACGGUAAUGGGUAAAGAAGCACCGGCUAACUACGUG